CUCUCAAUAAAAAAGUUACUUUUUAUUGUCCACUUUUAUGUGGUCAAUUAUUUUGACUCAGGUAAAAGAAGAACAAUGCAGCAAGAGAAUUGAGGAUAUUUUUGAGAAUGGAUUCAACUUCUGGAUAGAUAAGGAUUAUCUACUAUGACAAAGGAGUAGAUUACAGCCACCUCUGACAAGGCAACCACAAACAAAUCAGUUCAACCUAAGCACUUCAAGGACA
rnacentral:lncRNA from 1 species